rnacentral:pre_miRNA from 1 species
UGUUGUACUUUUUUUUUUGUUCGUUUUAUUUUCAGAACAAAAAAAAAAGCCCAACCCU